GCCUCCUUAGCUCAGUGGUAGAGCGUCGCUCUUGUAAAGCGGAUGUCGUCGGUUCAAUCCCGACAGGAGGCUCCG
rnacentral:tRNA from 1 species